UACGAAGGGGACUAGCGUUGUUCGGAAUCACUGGGCGUAAAGCGCACGUAGGCGGAUAUGUCAGUCAGGGGUGAAAUCCCGGGGCUCAACCUCGGAACUGCCCUUGAUACAGCAUAUCUUGAGUCCGAUAGAGGUGGGUGGAAUUCCUAGUGUAGAGGUGAAAUUCGUAGAUAUUGGGAAGAACACCGGUGGCGAAGGCGGCUAUCUGGACCGACAUUGACGCUGAGGCGCGAAAGCGUGGGGAGCAAACAGG
rnacentral:rRNA from 1 species